rnacentral:rRNA from 1 species
GAUGAACGCUGGCGGCGUGCCUAAUACAUGCAAGUCGAGCGAACAGACGCGGCUCUUGCUCCUCUCACGUUAGCGGCGGACGGGUGAGUAACACGUGUAUAACCUACCUAUAAUACUGGUAUAACUUCGGGAAACCGGCGCAAACCCGGGAUAAUAUCUUGAACCGCAGGGUUCAUUGGAGAAAUUCGGUUUUGGUGUCUCUUAUAGCUGCUUCCUCGCCGCAUGAGCUGGUUGGUAGGGUAACGGCUUACCAAGGCAACGAGGCGUAGCCGACCGGAGAGGGGGAUCGGCCACACUGGAACUGAGACACGGACCAGACUCCUACGGGAGGCAGCAGUAGGGAAUCGGCCGCAAUGGGCGAAAGCCUGACGGAGCAACGCCGCGUGAGUGAUGACGGUCUUCGGAGCGUAAAACUCUGUUAUGAGGGAAGAACAAAUGUGUAAGUAAAUAUGCACGUCUUGACGGUAACUAAUCAGAAAGCCACGGCUAACUACGUG